rnacentral:rRNA from 1 species
GGAAUAUUGGACAAUGGGCGCAAGCCUGAUCCAGCCAUGCCGCGUGAGUGAUGAAGGCCUUAGGGUUGUAAAGCUCUUUCAGCGGGGACGAUAAUGACGGUACCCGCAGAAGAAGCCCCGGCUAACUCUGUGCCAGCAGCCGCGGUAAUACAGAGGGGGCAAGCGUUGUUCGGAAUUACUGGGCGUAAAGGGCGCGUAGGCGGCCUUCUAAGUCGAACGUGAAAUCCCCGGGCUCAACCCGGGAACUGCGUCCGAUACUGGAAGGCUUGAAUCCGGGAGAGGGAUGCGGAAUUCCAGGUGUAGCGGUGAAAUGCGUAGAUAUCUGGAGGAACACCGGUGGCGAAGGCGGCAUCCUGGACCGGUAUUGACGCUGAUGCGCGAAAGCCAGGGGAGCAAAC